rnacentral:rRNA from 1 species
GACGGUGGCGAUAGCGGUAGGGAUCCGCCCGGUCCCAUUCCGAACCCGGAAGCUAAGCCUACCAGCGCUGAUGGUACUGCACUCGUGAGGGUGUGGGAGAGUAAGACACUGCCGUCA